GAUGAAGAACGUAGCGAAAUGCGAUAAGUAGUGUGAAUUGCAGAAUUCAGUGAAUCAUCGAAUCUUUGAACGCACAUUGCGCCCUUUGGUAUUCCAAAGGGCAUGCCUGUUCGAGCGUCAUUUGUACCCUCAAGCUUUGCUUGGUGUUGGGCGUCUUGUCUCUAGCUUUGCUGGAGACUCGCCUUAAAGUAAUUGGCAGCCGGCCUACUGGUUUCGGAGCGCAGCACAAGUCGCACUCUCUAUCAGCAAAGGUCUAGCAUCCAUUAAGCCCUUUUUUUCAACUUUUGACCUCGGAUCAGGUAGGGAUACCCGCUGAACUUAAGCAUAUCAAUAAGCGGAGGA
rnacentral:misc_RNA from 1 species